AAAAUAAAAAAGAAAAAAUGAAAGCCCACGAUGAAACUAGGGCAUGCAAGUAAAAUGCUUUCUUCAAACUAUAAUUUUACUCAUCUCAUUUUGCAAUAUUUAUCUGUCUUCACCAAGAAGCUUCUGGCCGCAAUGCACGCAGUUGCUUGAAUCUGAACAAGAGCUUAAGGAAUCGAGCUGAACUUCUUUGCAUGUUUUGACCAAGUAUGAAAGACAACAUGCCGUGUGGUAUGUGAUAUUCAUGCCGUGUGGUACUGAUAGACUAAGAAGAUAAUAAGUUGAAGUGGAUGGGCAACUGCAACUUGGCAAGUCUCUCAAGUUCAAACUAGUCACUCUAAACAAUGACGGGUUACCCUGUUCUCCUACUCUCUUUUUCUUCUAUUAUGUAGUUUGUUUUCAUGAUGUAUGAAAAUAUGUAUCUAUGGUUUCAACUAUUCCCAAGGCUUUUGUGGGAUAUCUUAUACAUUAUUUUUAAAUAAAAAGCUAUUUUCAUGCAA